rnacentral:sRNA from 1 species
AGCAGCCGCGGUAAUUCCAGCUCCAAUAGCGUAUAUUAAAGUUGUUGCAGUUAAAAAGCUCGUAGUUGAAUUUCGGGAUCAAUACGUCGGUCGUGCUUCGGUACGUACUGGCGUCAUUGAUUUCUCCCUUCUGACGAACCAUGAUGUCAUUAACUUGGUGUCAUGGGAAAUCAGGACUGUUACUUUGAAAAAAUUAGAGUGUUUAAAGCAGGCUCACGCUUGAAUACAUUAGCAUGGAAUAAUGAAAUAGGACGUUCGAUCCUAUUUUGUUGGUUUUUAGGAUCAACGUAAUGAUUAAUAGGGAUAGUUGGGGGCAUUAGUAUUCAAUUGUCAGAGGUGAAAUUCUUGGAUUUAUUGAAGACUAACUACUGCGAAAGCAUUUGCCAAGGAUGUUUUCAUUAAUCAAGAACGAAAGUUAGGGGAUCGAAGACGAUCAGAUACCGUCGUAGUCUUAACCAUAAACUAUGCCGACUAGGGAUCGGAUGAUGUUAAUUUUUUAAUGACUCAUUCGGCGCCUUAC